GUCUACGGCCAUACCACCCUGAACGCGCCCAAUCUCGUCUGAACUCGGAAGCUAAGCAUGGUCGGGCCUGGUUAGUACUUGGAUGGGAGACCGCCUGGAAAUACCGGGUGCUGUAGGCU
rnacentral:rRNA from 1 species